rnacentral:lncRNA from 1 species
GAGCAUGUAAGAACUUGUGUUAGCCGGUUCUAUUCAAUGGAAGAACCGGAGUACUUAGCUAAAGUUAUAACUAAAAUUAGUCAAGCUCGAUCUCAACCCAACCAACCCUUCGAACCUACUUCUUAGGCCUAAUCCUAGCUAGUACUUACUCAGGCUUCAGUCUUUAGGGCGGGCCCUGGACUCGAGAAUCAGAUAGUAUGCAUGACAGAUGAAUAAAAAUGAUGGUAGAGAGAGGUUGGGGGGAUAGAGAG